UCCAAGAAAAUUCUCUGGUGUCUUAUAUAUUUUUCCAGAAACGGAAAAAAUCGCUGUAAUGAUAGUCAAUUAAUAAAUUAAUAGAAAUCUAACAUUUGAUGAUUUUCUAGUCACGGCCCAGCCUCAACCUGACCGAAAACACAGGAUAACCCUGAUCUGACAUUGCGAAGAAUAAGCGUACAAGAAAUAUUCUCAACAGGAAACAGGUUCUGCAUACUAACCCACGUGGGUCUACUGAAGGUAAUUGGAUGGUACUCUAAAUAGCAACAUAAUAUUACUACUAGUACUUGUACUUUAAGUGUAGUACAAUAAACCACACCUACCUUUGCACGGAAAGAUUAUUCAGACGUGAUAAUUGAAGACUAGAUAUCUUAUUAUGAAUCAGAGGAUACCUACGGUUCAAAACGUUAAAGAACAAGUAUCUUUAAAUAGUUUAUUUUCAACAGAAUUACUUGUUUGAAAAAAAGAAAAAAGAUUUUACUUGUACGCUCAAUUGAUCAUAACUCCAAAGUACUCAGUGUAAUGGGAUAUUAAAUAAAAAUAUUGCUACCAUACUCUUCAGAUUUAUUAAAUGUCAUAAAAAAUAAUGAGCUGCUGAAUUAGAUUUUAUACUUAUUAGUACGCUGAGAAAAAAAUGUAGCGCUCCGAGCGAUGCCGUUGA